GUGGGGUAAUGGCCUACCAAGGCGAUGACGGGUAGCUGGCGUGAGAGCGCGACCAGCCACACUGGGACUGAGACACGGCCCAGACUCCUACGGGAGGCAGCAGUGGGGAAUAUUGCUCAAUGGGCGAAAGCCUGACGCAGCGACGCCGCGUGGGGGAGGAAGGCCUCAGGGUUGUAAACCCCUGUCAGGUGGGACGAAACCCGUAAUGUCUAAUAGGCAUUACGACUGACGGUACCACCAGAGGAAGCUCCGGCUAACUCCGUGCCAGCAGCCGCGGUAAUACGGGGGGAGCAAGCGUUGUUCGGAAUUACUGGGCGUAAAGGGCGCGUAGGCGGCCAGGUCAGUCGCAUGUGAAAGGCCGGGGCUCAACCCCGAGCACUGCAUGCGAUACUGCCUGGCUCGAGAGAGGUAGGGGCAAGUGGAAUUCCCGGUGUAGCGGUGGAAUGCGUAGAUUUCGGGAGGAACACCUGUGGCGAAGGCGGCUCGCUGGACCUUUUCUGACGCUGAAGCGCGAAAGCGUGGGUAGCAAACAGGAUUAGAUACCCUAGUAGUCCACGCCGUAAACGAUGGGUACUAGGUGUUGGGAGGAUUGACCCUUUC
rnacentral:rRNA from 1 species